rnacentral:lncRNA from 1 species
GUAAACCAAGAUGGCGUCACGCGAAGAAGCAGUUACCGUUAAUUUACAGAGGAAGCAUUUUUGAGCAUUCCAGGACCCAAAAAAUAAUCUACCACAUCACACCAAAUAACACGUAAACCUAAACUCCCACUAGCACAGUGAAAACAGGAACCAUAUGAUGACUACACAGCCUACAUAAAGCAGAAACUACGUACUCUGCGGUUCACUUCCCAGAACCCGGAGGACAGCGAGUCUGCCUGCCUCCAUGUCGAGGGUCGGGAUUCACUGGCUGCUCUGGCUGCUGUGGUUGAUGUGGAAGGCUUGAGAGAGGACAUGAUGCUUGACUGCUUAGCCUCCAUAAUGGCUUGCUGCCAAACACUCAACGUACUUUCAAAAAGCAAAUCAUCUUUGGAUUUAUUUCGGUUAUGGAAAACAGAAAUGGUGAAACAGCUAAUCUGGAAAUGGCAUAGAAUUGGGCCGUCUCCUGCCUCGCUGAUGGAAAUUGUUCCAGUGUUUUUGAAGAAAAUUGUGGCACCACGUUGGUUCCAGGCCUUCCACUCAUUACAUGAGACCCCCUCACAUUAUUGCUGGUGAACUUCUUUACUCACAGUCAACUGAUUGUCGAUGUCAAUCACACUGAACUCUACCUUCACAACACCAGACGGACACGUAAUCGUCACAGUACGUGUAAGUGUAUAUGGAAUUUAUGUCUACCUUGUGGGAAUUAUUAUUUUGUAUAGCAUAAUUUGAAAAAUACAAUUCAAAUACAACUAUCCCUUGAUUUCAAAAGUCAAGACUUGCAGUAGGAAGUUUUUUAGUUACCUUGUUAACUUCAAAACAUUUCUCUAUAUUUAUAUUCUCACUUGGCCUUUAUCCAUAUCUCUUAGGACUUGUUUUCCCAUUUCCUCCUACCUCUCUGGAAAUUUCUAUAGGGAUGACUAGAUCUACUUUAAAAAAUGGCCUGACAUGAAUUCUCUUAUGACCAAGUAAUUUUCUAAAUGGUCAGCUUGAAAUCUUUAGCAACUAGGCCAUUUUCUAGAAAAGAUUUCUCAUAUUUUAACUGGGUUAACACUGAUGAGACUUCCCCAAUGAUCCCAAACAUUUUCCAUCAUUAACUGUUAGAGAGCAGGACCUCAGGAGAAUGGACCAGGACAUGUGCAAUGUCCCAGGUUUCUAUUGCUAAUAACAAACGACUCAAAAACUUAGUGGCAUAAAAUGAUACUGUUUUAUUGUACUCAUGGAUUCCAGGGUCCAAAACUCUGAUUAAGCACAGUAGGAAUGUUUUGUCUCUGCUCCACAGUAUCAGGGACACACAUUAUAAAGACUAAGAGCUGGGGGUAACCAAUAUGGCUAUGGAUUGAAAUGUCUGGCGCUGGAAGAUACUGAUCUGAGUAAUCUGUUGAUCAGAGCAACCAGACAUGACCUCUUUCUGUGGAUUGGGCUCCUCAGGACAUGGACACUGGCUUCUCAGAUGGGGUGCUCAGCAAUGAGCAUUCCAAGAGGCCAAAGCAGAAGCUGCAUGGCCCAUGACUUAGCCUCAGAAGUUACGUGGCAUUAUCUCUGCCAAAUCUGUCAGUCAAACAGUCACAAGCACCCCCUGAUUCAAGGGGAGAGGACAUAGACCCCAAUCUUGAUGGGAGGACAAUCAAAGUAUUCAGAUCCAUGAUUUAAAACGUCCAUAUAUAUUUCCUUUGGCAUUAAGUUCAAGGUCAGAGUUUGGAUUAAUUAAGCUGAGCCAAUUUGCAAGGGAAGGAGUCCCCUGUUGAGGGACUCUGAAAAGUACGAGAAUUCUGGAUCCUUUCAGAAAAAUGAUUAGAGGGAUCCCUUUUUAUCAUUUCUAACAUAUUCCCAUAAAUGUCUUGGCUAUUGAAUUUUCAGAUAUUAUGAAUGGGAAAAUAAUACAGUAUCCCCAACCCAUCCAAAAACUUUGAACAAGUUCCCCAAAUAGUACGGAAACC